rnacentral:rRNA from 1 species
AGACCGUUCUCUUCAGAGGCCGGUCAUUGGAAUGGGUACAAUUUAAACCCUUUAACGAGUAUCUAUGAGAGGGCAAGUCUGGUGCCAGCAGCCGCGGUAAUUCCAGCUCUCAAAAUGCAUAGAAUCAUUGCUGCGGUUAAAAAGCUCGUAGUUGGAUCUGUGCUGGCGGGUCGGUCCACCUUCGGGUGCGCACUGAUUCGCCGGCUUUCCUGCUGUAUUUGGCCCUGUGCCUUUCAACGGGUGCAGUGUCCAGUGCAGCAAGUUUACCUUGAACAAAUCUGAGUGCUUCAAACAGGCGUUUCGCUUGAAUGUUCGUGCAUGGAAUAAUAGAAGAGGAUUUCAGUUCUAUUUUAUUGGUUUUAUAGACUGAGAUAAUGGUUAACAGAGACUAACGGGGGCAUUAGUAUUGCUACGUGAGAGGUGAAAUUCUUGGACCGUAGCAAGACUGACUACAGCGAAAGCAUUUGCCAAAAGUCUUCAUUAAUCAAGAACGAAAGUCAGAGGUUCGAAGGCGAUCAGAUACCGCCCUAGUUCUGACCGUAAACGAUGCCAACUAGUGAUCCGCCGGUGGAACAUUCGCCCUGGUGGGGAACUUCCCGGAAACGAAAGUCUUCCGGUUCCGGGGGAAGUAUGGUUGCAAAGCUGAAACUUAAAGGAAUUGACAGAAGGGCACCACCAGGAGUGGAGCCUGCGGCUUAAUUUGACCCAACACGGGAAAACUCACCCGGCCCGGACACCGUAAGGAUUGACAGAUUGAUAGCUCUUUCAUGAUUCGGUGGAUGGUGGUGCAUGGCCGUUCUUAGUUCGUGGAGCGAUUUGUCUGGUUUAUUCCGAUAACGAGCGAGACUCUGGCCUACUAAAUAGUUUACACAUUGCUUCUGUGUGCAUAACUUCUUAGAGGGAUUUUCGGUGUUCAGCCGCAAGAAAUUGAGCAAUAACAGGUCUGUGAUGCCCUUAGAUGUCCGGGGCUGCACGCGCGCUACACUGGCAAAAUCAGCGUGCUUGUCCUUCCCCGAAAGGGGUUGGUAAACUCGUGAAAAUUUGCCGUGAUUGGGAUCGGAAAUUGCAAUUAUUUUCCGUGAACGAGGAAUUCCAAGUAAGUGCGAGUCAUCAACUCGCGUUGAUUACGUCCCUGCCCUUUGUACACACCGCCCGUCGCUGCCCGGGACUGAGCCGUUUCGAGAAACUUGGAGACCGCUGAUCUGGUAACUUCGAUUGCCAUUUUGGUGGGAACCAAUUUAA